rnacentral:rRNA from 1 species
GACGAACGCUGGCGGCGUGCUUAACACAUGCAAGUCGAACGGAAAGGCCCUGCUUUUGUGGGGUGCUCGAGUGGCGAACGGGUGAGUAACACGUGAGUAACCUGCCCUUGACUUUGGGAUAACUUCAGGAAACUGGGGCUAAUACCGGAUAGGAGCUCCUGCUGCAUGGUGGGGGUUGGAAAGUUUCGGCGGUUGGGGAUGGACUCGCGGCUUAUCAGCUUGUUGGUGGGGUAGUGGCUUACCAAGGCUUUGACGGGUAGCCGGCCUGAGAGGGUGACCGGCCACAUUGGGACUGAGAUACGGCCCAGACUCCUACGGGAUGCAGCAGUCGGGAAUAUUGCACAAUGGGCGGAAGCCUGAUGCAGCAACGCCGCGUGCGGGAUGACGGCCUUCGGGUUGUAAACCGCUUUCGCCUGUGACGAAGCGUGAGUGACGGUAAUGGGUAAAGAAGCACCGGCUAACUACGUG